AUCGACUGCACUGAACUCCGCUGCCAGACACCAUCUUCACUACUACUGCAGAGUGAAGUGUUUUCUUCUUUCAAGUCACUCUGUACCUUUAAGGGCAUGUUGGGAAUGUCACCACAUGGAGCUGUCGCUUUUGUGUCAUCCUUGUGUGCUGGAUCUGUGAGUGACAAGGAGAUUUUCAAGCAGUCUGGAAUUAUUUCCUUACUCACACAUCAACAACUGACACCCAUGGGUAACGAUGCUUCGAGGGUGACUGUUGAUGUGUGCAGAGUGUCCCUAGUUCGAGCCCAGGUAGGGGCGAGGGGACGGACGAAAGAAAUACUGUUACAUUGGUGCCGUGACCCGGAUCACUGGUUGCUGCGGAAAAGGAGGAGGUCAAAAGGGGGGUGAGCAGAAGUUCCAUGUUAUCAGGGAAACCAGGAAUACGGUUGAGCUCCAGGACCACCCAGGAGAUGAUGGAUACUGGGAGAUCAAUGCAAACAGCUCCAAACACGAUGGGAAUGUUGUCACCAAUGGUUACAUGGGUGAGUCACGCUUCACGGAAAUUCAAAAUGAGAUGCAACAUGUUUUUUAUUUUUAUGGUUCUGUUAAUCAUACAGUGAUUUAUUUCAUACACCAGAUUGCACAACAAAUUACAUUUCUCUUGUAUAUACAGUUGGUGUUUCUGAAAUAAAGAAAUAAAAGAAAACAUUUCUAAUGAUGAGAAAAUCUUGGAAUUUUCCACACAUUUACUAGAUUUGACCCGAGUGGGGACUAUGUGUACACUAAGGCGAGCUCUUAUGGAGCUGAGAAGUGGCUUCUCAUGGUGGACGAGAGUGACCAGAGAUAUGAGAGAGCAUUCAUCAUCAAGAACAAACAUUCUGGAAGGUUA